GUGGUAUUUGUGCGGCACAGAACGACAAUCACAUGUCCAUAGCAGCCCAGUGUGAUGAGGAAUGGGAUACAAAACCCAAUGUUUUGCUGUAGAACAUGUCUGGAAGACUUUGAAUGCUCACCAACAGCCAAACCAUGACUGAGAUCCCCACAGAUUGUGCAGCAAAGACUUCAAUCCACAUCCAUUGGCUACCAGACCAAUGAUGAAGACUAAGAUGAAAACAGGAGGCAGAAAUCU